rnacentral:rRNA from 1 species
AUUGAACGCUGGCGGCAGGCCUAACACAUGCAAGUCGAGCGAGCGGCGGACGGGUGAGUAAUGUCUGGGAAACUGCCUGUUGGAGGGGGAUAACUACUGGAAACGGUAGCUCAUACCGCAUACCAUCAGAUGUGCCCAGAUGGGAUUAGCUAGUAGGUGGGGGAAUGGCUCACCCAGGCGACGAUCCCUCGCUGGUCUGAGAGGAUGACCAGCCACACUGGAACGGAGACACGGUCCAGAAUCCUACGGGAGGCAGCAGUGGGGAAUAUUGCACAAUGGGCGCAAGCCUGAUGCAGCCAUGCCGCGUGUGUGAAGAAGGCCUUCGGGGUGUAAAGUACGUUCAGCGGGGAGGCGGUACCCGCAGAAGAAGCACCGGCUAACUCCGUGCCAGCAGCCGCGGUAAUAC